rnacentral:rRNA from 1 species
GACGAACGCUGGCGGCGUGCCUAAUACAUGCAAGUAGAACGCUGAAGGAGGAGCUUGCUCUUCUGGAUGAGUUGCGAACGGGUGAGUAACGCGUAGGUAACCUGCCUGGUAGCGGGGGAUAACUAUUGGAAACGAUAGCUAAUACCGCAUAACAGUAGAUGUUGCAUGACAUUUGCUUAAAAGGUGCAAUUGCACCACUACCAGAUGGACCUGCGUUGUAUUAGCUAGUUGGUGGGGUAACGGCUCACCAAGGCGACGAUACAUAGCCGACCUGAGAGGGUGAUCGGCCACACUGGGACUGAGACACGGCCCAGACUCCUACGGGAGGCAGCAGUAGGGAAUCUUCGGCAAUGGACGGAAGUCUGACCGAGCAACGCCGCGGGAGGGAAGAAGGGUUUCGGAUCGUAAAGAUCUGUUGUAAGAGAAGAACGAGUGUGAGAGUGGAAAGUUCACACUGUGACGGUAUCUUACCAGAAAGGGACGGCUAACUACGUG